UAGCCUAGUGGUUAAGGCUAUGGAUUGCCAAUUCGGAGACGGCGGGUUCGAUUCCCGU
rfam:Aedes albopictus isolate Foshan contig48585, whole genome shotgun sequence.